rnacentral:lncRNA from 1 species
UUUUAGCUCAAAAAAUACAUGAAUAUAUACUUGAAUGGGUUCUCAUUGCUCGUAAACUACCAUUCUAUUGUCAUUUGACGCCAUUUUGCAAGUUGUGUAAGGUUUUGAUUUCUUUUGUUUUGAGGUUUUUUAGGAGGGUUUUUGGGGAGGAAGAAGAAGGAGGUGGAGGAGGUGGAGGAGGUGAGGGGUUUGUGAGUGAGGAGAUAAAUAUUUUUUUUAGGUUUUUGAUUAUUUGGU